CAGAAGGUAGUUUAUAAAAAAUUCCGGUUUUGGGGACCGGAGAAGAAGAUUUGUGUUCUUUUCUUUUGA
rnacentral:tRNA from 1 species